UACGUAGAGUGCAGGCGUUAAUCGGAAUUACUGGGCGUAAAGCGUGCGCAGGCGGUUUCUUAAGUCAGAUGUGAAAGCCCCGGGCUUAACCUGGGAACUGCGUUUGAAACUGGGAGACUUGAGUGUGGCAGAGGGGGGUGGAAUUCCACGUGUAGCAGUGAAAUGCGUAGAUAUGUGGAGGAACACCGAUGGCGAAGGCAAUCCCCUGGGCCUGCACUGACGCUCAUGCACGAAAGCGUGGGGAGCAAACAGG
rnacentral:rRNA from 1 species